GUGGGGAAUAUUGGGCAAUGGGCGAAAGCCUGAUGCAGCAACGCCGCGUGAGUGAUGAAGGCCUUUGGGUCGUAAAACUCUGUCCUUGGGGAAGAAAAAAAUGACGGUACCCUUGGAGGAAGCCCCGGCUAACUACGUGCCAGCAGCCGCGGUAAUACGUAGGGGGCAAGCGUUAUCCGGAAUUAUUGGGCGUAAAGAGUGCGUAGGUGGUUUUGUAAGCGUAGGGUGAAAGGCAGUAGCUCAACUAUUGUUAGCCCUGCGAACUGUGAGACUUGAGUGCAGGAGAGGAAAGUGGAAUUCCUAGUGUAGCGGUGAAAUGCGUAGAUAUUAGGAGGAACACCAGUGGCGAAGGCGACUUUCUGGACUGUAACUGACACUGAGGCACGAAAGCGUGGGUAGCAAACAGGAUUAGAAACCCCGGUAGUCC
rnacentral:rRNA from 1 species